rnacentral:rRNA from 1 species
CGAGUGAAGCGGCAACAGCUCAAAUUUGAAAUCUGGCUCCUUCGGGGUCCGAGUUGUAAUUUGCAGAGGGUGCUUUGGCGUUGGCGGCGGUCUAAGUUCCUUGGAACAGGACAUCACAGAGGGUGAGAAUCCCGUACGUGGUCGCCUGCCUUCGCCGUGUAAAGCCCCUUCGACGAGUCGAGUUGUUUGGGAAUGCAGCUCUAAAUGGGAGGUAAAUUUCUUCUAAAGCUAAAUACCGGCCAGAGACCGAUAGCGCACAAGUAGAGUGAUCGAAAGAUGAAAAGCACUUUGGAAAGAGAGUCAAACAGCACGUGAAAUUGUUAUAAGGGAAGCGCUUGCAGCCAGACUUGCCUGUAGUUGCUCACCUGGGCUUUUGCCCGGGGCACUCUUCUGCAGGCAGGCCAGCAUCAGUUUGGGCGGUCGGAUAAAGGCCUCUGACACGUACUUCCUUUCGGGGUUGACAUAUAGGGGAGGCGUAAUGCGACCAGCCUGGACUGAGGUCCGCGCAUCUGCUAGGAUGCUGGCGUAAUGGCUGUAAGCGGCCCGUCUUGAAACACGGACCAAGGAGUCUAACAUCUAUGCGAGUGUUUGGGUGUCAAGCCCGAGCGCGUAAUGAAAGUGAACGGAGGUGGGAACCCCUCGGGGCGCACCAUCGACCGAUCCUGAUGUCUUCGGAUGGAUUUGAGUAAGAGCAUAGCUGUUGGGACCCGAAAGAUGGUGAACUAUGCUUGAAUAGGGUGAAGCCAGAGGAAACUCUGGUGGAGGCUCGCAGCGGUUCUGACGUGCAAAUCGAUCGUCAAAUUUGGGCAUAG